rnacentral:lncRNA from 1 species
AAUUACACUGUUUAGUUGCAGUUAUUGUUGCUAUAAAAAUAGUGAUCAACUUUUUGGCGCCGUUGCCGGGGACUGUUUAGAUUUUGCUUUAAUAUUUCCAAUAGGACUUUAUAGUACUGCAAGUUUUUUUUUUNUUGUCUUUAUUUUUCUUUUCUGAUCUUUUUGCUGUUUCUGUAGGUUGCAUAUGAACACACGAUCUCACGGAAAUCCUCUCUUUGAGUUUGACCCUGAAAUCAACAAGACCUUGCGCAAUCUAAAGAAGCAGAACGAUCAAGUUGAGACAGAAACGAUGGCUACUCCAGAGCAAAUCCAAAUUCGAGCUUUGCAAGAGCAGUUGAAGAAGCUGCUUGAUGCACAGGAGACGAGAGAGGCUCAGAAACAACCAGCCAUCAAUGAAGCGUUCAUACCACAGUAUGUGUACCAAGAGCCCCCACG